AACGGGGGUCAAAAUAUAAUUUAAAAAAGUUAUACUACGUCAGCAGCCCGGUCAGUAGCUUCGACCGACUAGGACGUGCUAGGUGGCAGAGACACUGACGUGGGAUGCCAUGCAAGGGAGCCACGUGGGUGAUCCACGUGCGUACGAUCGAACAACUGAGAUCCGUUCUCCCGCGCACGGACGACCCAAAUUGAAUCGCGAUGAACGAUCCAGGUUCACUCCCUAUUUAAUCGCGAUAGGACGGUUCAGAUUAAAAGCGAUGGAUGGCCCAGAUCAAAAGUAGAUGG
rnacentral:lncRNA from 1 species